rnacentral:misc_RNA from 1 species
GAUGAAGAACGUAGCGAAAUGCGAUAAGUAAUGCGAAUUGCAGAAUUUCCGUGAAUCAUCGAGUCUUUGAACGCACAUUGCGCCCCCUGGCAUUCCGGGGGGCAUGCCUGUCCGAGCGUCAUUGCUGCCCUUCAAGCCCGGCUUGUGUGUUGGGUCGUCGUCCCCCCCGGGGGACGGGCCCGAAAGGCAGCGGCGGCACCGCGUCCGGUCCUCGAGCGUAUGGGGCUUUGUCACCCGCUCGAUUAGGGCCGGCCGGGCGCCAGCCGGCGUCUCCAACCUUCUAUUUUACCAGGUUGACCUCGGAUCAGGUAGGGAUACCCGCUGAACUUAAGCAUAUCAAUAAGCGGAGGA